AUGGACACGCUCGCCCCGGCCAUCUGGCGGAACUACGCCCCAAAUAAGUGUCGACUCUACCUCUGGCUUGCCCGCAAGGACCGCCUCUUCACGAAUGAACGACGGUUCAGACAGGGCAUUGCUACUUCAGCCGCAUGCCCCUUCUGCGACCACUGUGAAUCCAUCAACCACCUCCUUUUCGAAUGUCAGCACAUAGCUCCACUUUGGGGGGAGCUAGACAGCCUAUGUCCGGAUGCGCCACAGGGGCUGCUCCAAGCUUGGGAGGGCGAAUGGCACAACAAAACUAGAUCAACAGUUCUGCUGGCAGUUCUUUGGAAUAUCUGGAAGCGACGGAACGCCAAGGUCUUUCGAGACAUGCAUCUUGGGCUUCAUGACGUCGUAAGCUCCGCUGCGGAAGAUCUUAAACUUUGGUCCCACCGUUGUAAUAAUAUUCAAAAACAAAUUCAACUCAGGGACUGGGGCUCCAUGUUGUUCCACCUUGCCGGGAGAAUUUAG
rnacentral:rRNA from 1 species